UACAGAGGUCCCAAGCGUUGUUCGGAUUCACUGGGCGUAAAGGGUGCGUAGGUGGCCAGGUAAGUUUGGUGUGAAAGCUCGGAGCUCAACUCCGAAAUGGCAUUGAAUACUAUCUGGCUGGAGGGUCGGAGGGGAGACUGGAAUUCUCGGUGUAGCAGUGAAAUGCGUAGAUAUCGAGAGGAACACCAGUGGCGAAGGCGGCUUUCUUGGCCGUCAUUCUUGACGCUGAGGCGCGAAAGCGUGGGGAGCAAACAGG
rnacentral:rRNA from 1 species